rnacentral:rRNA from 1 species
CCUACGGGGGGCUGCAGUGGGGAAUAUUGGACAUUGGGGGCAACCCUGAUCCAGCCAUGCCGCGUGUGUGAAGAAGGCCCUCGGGUUGUAAAGCACUUUCAGUGAGGAAGAACGCCUGGUGGUUAAUACCCAUCAGGAAAGACAUCACUCACAGAAGAAGCACCGGCUAACUCCGUGCCAGCAGCCGCGGUAAUACGGAGGGUGCGAGCGUUAAUCGGAAUUACUGGGCGUAAAGCGCGCGUAGGUGGCUUGAUAAGCCGGUUGUGAAAGCCCCGGGCUCAACCUGGGAACGGCAUCCGGAACUGUCAAGCUAGAGUGCAGGAGAGGAAGGUAGAAUUCCCGGUGUAGCGGUGAAAUGCGUAGAGAUCGGGAGGAAUACCAGUGGCGAAGGCGGCCUUCUGGACUGACACUGACACUGAGGUGCGAAAGCGUGGGUAGCAAACAGGAUUAGAUACCCCAGUAGUC